rnacentral:tRNA from 1 species
GAGAGAGGCCCGAAGCAACAAAGACUGCUAAUCUUUGCCCCCUUGGUUAAACUCCAGGGCUCACUCG